rnacentral:rRNA from 1 species
AUACGGAGGGUGCAAGCGUUAUCCGGAAUCAUUGGGUUUAAAGGGUCCGUAGGCGGGCUAUUAAGUCAGAGGUGAAAUCCCACAGCUCAACUGUGGAACUGCCUUUGAUACUGAUAGUCUUGAGUUACAGUGAAGUAGAUAGAAUAUGUAGUGUAGCGGUGAAAUGCAUAGAUAUUACAUAGAAUACCGAUUGCGAAGGCAGUCUACUAACUGUAUACUGACGCUGAUGGACGAAAGCGUGGGGAGCGAACAGGAUUAGAAACCCCUGUAGUCC